CUUCAUUUCAAAACCCCUCCUGCAACUACAAUAAUUCAUUGCUGCUUCAUUCAAUCCAUUCAGAUUUAUAAUAAUCAUGUCUCUUACAACUUUAUUGUUUAGGUCAAUGGUGAGGUUUGUGACAUCUUUUGUUGGUGAGCCAACCACUUCCAUCUCAACCCUCCUAUACUACAGUGGUCUUCUUCCUCACAAUGUCAUUCUUUUGAGAAUGGUUCGCCAUGAGUUGUUAGAUCAAGAAAAUCACCUUUUCCAUCUUCUCAUCUCUAUGAUGAGUUGUUUGUGGUGAUAUAUAUAUAUAUAUAUACUUAUUGUGCGCAUUGCUUUACAUUUUCUUGAUUUUCAUUAUGUGUGAUAUGCUGAAUUUGAUGAAAAAGAUAUAACAAUGCUAGAUAUAUGAAAGUUUCAAGUUGAAUGAUCCAAAUAGUAUAUGGAAUAUUUUGUUAUAUUUGUUAAAAAAUAUUAAAGACAAGUUGGAAGUCUCUUAUUCAUCA